GACGAACGCUGGCGGCGUGCCUAAUACAUGCAAGUAGAACGCUGAAGGAGGAGCUUGCUUCUCCGGAUGAGUUGCGAACGGGUGAGUAACGCGUAGGUAACCUGCCUGGUAGCGGGGGAUAACUAUUGGAAACGAUAGCUAAUACCGCAUAACAGUAGAUGUUGCAUGACAUUUGCUUAAAAGGUGCAAUUGCAUCACUACCAGAUGGACCUGCGUUGUAUUAGCUAGUUGGUGAGGUAACGGCUCACCAAGGCGACGAUGCAUAGCCGACCUGAGAGGGGGAUCGGCCACCCUGGGACUGGGACACGGCCCAGGCUCCUACGGGGGGCAGCAGUAGGGAAUCUUCGGCAAUGGACGGAAGUCUGACCGAGCCACGCCGCGUGAGUGAAGAAGGUUUUCGGAUCGUAAAGCUCUGUUGUAAGAGAAGAACGAGUGUGAGAGUGGAAAGUUCACACUGUGACGGUAUCUUACCAGAAAGGGACGGCUAACUACGUG
rnacentral:rRNA from 1 species